CUUACACAUGCAGUCGAGGGGCAGCAGGUCUUCGGACGCUGGCGACCGGCAAACGGGUGCGGAACACGUACGCAACAUACCCUUUACAGGGGGAUAGCCCGAAGAAAUUCGGAUUAACACCCCAUAGUAUAAUGGAGAGGCAUCUUUCUGUUAUUAAAAAUUUAUUGGUAAAGGAUUGGCGUGCGUCCCAUUAGAUAGUUGGCGGGGUAACGGCCCACCAAGUCAGCGAUGGGUAGCUGGUGUGAGAGCACGACCAGCCACACGGGCACUGAGACACGGGCCCGACUCCUACGGGAGGCAGCAGUGAGGAAUAUUGGUCAACGGACGCAAGUCUGAACCAGCCAUGCCGCGUGGAGGAUGACAGCCUUCUGGGUUGUAAACUUCUUUUAUAUGGGAAGAAAAGUACGGUUUCUACUGUAUCCGACGGUACCAUAUGAAUAAGCACCGGCUAACUCCGUGCCAGCAGCCGCGGUAAUACGGAGGGUGCAAGCGUUAUCCGGAUUUACUGGGUUUAAAGGGUGUGUAGGCGGAUAUUUAAGUCAGAGGUGAAAUCUCCGAGCUCAACUCGGAAACUGCCUUUGAUACUAUUUAUCUUGAAUUUCGUUGAGGUUGGCGGAAUAUAUCAUGUAGCGGUGAAAUGCAUAGAUAUGAUAUAGAACACCGAUUGCGUACGCGGCUGGCUGAACGAACAUUGACGCUGAGGCACGAAAGCGUGGGUAGCGAACAGGAUUAGAUACCCUGGUAGUCCACGCCCUAAACGAUGAUUACUCGACAUACGCGAUACACAGUGUGUGUCUGAGCGAAAGCAUUAAGUAAUCCACCUGGGAGUACGUCCGCAAGA
rnacentral:rRNA from 1 species